rnacentral:tRNA from 1 species
GCCGAAGUGGUGGAACUGGUAGACACGCUAUCUUGAGGGGGUAGUGAGCUUUUGCUCGUGGAGGUUCAAAUCCUCUCUUCGGCACCA